rnacentral:rRNA from 1 species
AACGAACGCUGGCGGCAGGCCUAACACAUGCAAGUCGAGCGGGGGAGCAAUCCCUAGCGGCGGACGGGGUUAGUAACGCGUGGGAACAUACCCUUUGGUACGGAAUAGCCUCGGGAAACUGAGAGUAAUACCGUAUGUGCCCUUCGGGGGAAAGAUUUAUCGCCAAAGGAUUGGCCCGCGUUGGAUUAGGUAGUUGGGUGGGGGUAAUGGCCUACCAAGCCUACGAUCCAUAGCUGGUUUGAGAGGAUGAUCAGCAACACUGGGACUGAGACACGGCCCAGACUCCUACGGGAGGCAGCAGU